UUUUUUUUUUCUUUCUAUAGUUUAAAAGAAAUGCACUUCCCCCAUCAAGGCAUGCAAAUGAGCCGGGAAACAGACUAACUCCCAGUAUCACAAGGUCCUUCUGCUGUGACAGCUCACACCAGGAGGGAACGUGGGAACCCUGGGCCUCCAGGACCAAUAAGCUUUGGAAAUGACCCCAAAACCGGAAGAGGGACAUAUAUCCUUGGGACAUUAUGGAAACAAGAUUAGCAAAGACUGGAAGCCACAAGACACCAACAUUACCAAGAAAUGGAAGAUGCGGGAUGGCAUGCCUCGCCUGGAUCAGCACCUCUGCCAGGAGAUCUAUCAUCAUCAUUGAAAAAAACCCAUCUCCGUAGGAGUUUAGAUCAGCACCUAUGGGCCUGUGAACCCUGCAGAGACCGCAGUCCUGCCUUCGCAGACUACGUAGGUGUGAGGAAAAGCCCAGGAAUCAGCCUAAGAACAUUGUUGUGUGAUUCCGAUGCAACUAAUCCUUGAAUACUGGGAAUAGUGCUCCAGGAGCUGAAUUCAAACAACCCUUUAUAGGGAGGCUGACACACUACAGGCCAGGUUUCUUUGAGAAUAAAAUUAUUUAUAAAUAAUUGACAGUAUUUAAAAUUAGGAGUUUCUUUCCUUAAAACUUUGCAAUUUGGAAUGUAAGCACCGUCACCCUAGAAGAAUUAGCCAGAGGUUUCAGACCCCAGCUGCUUUUUUCCCAUGGAAUUGGGGCUCCUUAGAGAAAUCCAGAUCAGAUAAGAAGAUGGCGAUGCAGAGGGAAGGAGGGGCCCAAAACCCCAGCUGCCCAACUCCUUUAAACCCACCCAGUGUCAGGUAAUAACUGUGCAUGUACUUCAACCGUUAGCCAUUCCAGCAAAAAUCAUGGUUUUAGAGAAAUCUCUGCUAGCAAUAUAUAUUACUUUGAGACAGGAACAUCUAUAGAACAGAUUGUGAAAGAUUAUUUGUAGAAAACAUUUAAAAAUCUUCUUCUUAGGUUGUGUGGCAGUCUACAAACAAAUAUGUGAUAAAAUAAGCUCUUUAAAAAAUAAAUCAUGACAUAAGUGUACUUUAUCAUCACAUUCCUGUCCUUUAUAUUAUUUUUAUUUCUUCUUCCCAAAUCAAUUAUGGUAUCACUUUAACAACUAUAACCUCAAGAACCAAGAGUGGUGAGGAGUGCCUGGGUGGCUCAGUCGGUUAAGUGUCCGACUCUUGAUUUUGGUUCAGGUCAUGAUCUCAAGGUCAUGAGAUUGAGCCCCACAUCAGGCUUUGCACUCUGCGUGGAGCCUGCUUAAGAUUUUCUCUCUCUCCCUCCCCACCCCUCCACACCUCCCCCACUCAUACACGUGCACUCUCUCGCUCUCUCAAAAAAAAAAGACUCAUAUUAGGUUUAGGUGGAAUUAUAGCUUAGUUCAUCAGAUGUUGAACAAGUCUGUUAAAAAUAAGUCGGACUUCAAAUUAGAGAAUAAACAGAACAGAUAACUGAAUUUAUUAUCAUAAGUAAUCUGUAAAAUCCUAGAAUUCUAAAGAACUUCCUACUCAUUCUAUGUUCUCAUUUGAUCAGAUACUUCACUCCUCUUGGACAUUCUCAGUGCUGAUUUGUAUGGUCUGACUUCCAAGUUGAGAGUCUAAAUCCUCUAAAAACCUCCUUUUGGAACUGAAUUAUGGCAAGCUAUGUUGUUCAGUCCCUAGUAUUUCAAUGUGAAGAAAAAGCUAAUCAAGAGCACUAGGACAAUGAACUCUGGAUUGUGAGUGAGAUUUAGUGAAAACAAGCUUCCUGAGUGAGUGACCUCAUACUCAAUAAAACCAGCAGGUGGCGCACUGGCAGGUGGGUAGGCCUUGACCAGGCUUCCAAGCAUAAGCUGAUUAUUCUAAUGAGGUGUUAAUAGGUAUUAAUUAAAAGAGUUACAUCUUUAAAUAAGUUUAGGAUGAGUUGGAAUAAACGUGUUUCUUUGCUGUAAGAUUUAGAGCCUUUGCUAUUUCAAUGUGCACUAUGAAUCUUUCAAAGGGGCCUGGAUAAUGAGGCACUUCCUAAACUUACCCGACCACAAAACUCCUUUUGUGGGGUGGGAGAGCAUCUCUGGGUAUUGCCCUUCUAUGCAAUGGUCCAGGAACUGAAAAAGCUAGUGGUCUCUAUAGCUAAGACAAUGGCUGGUCUGUAGUCUCUGGAAUUUACUAAAUAUUGACUAGAUCUCCAGCUAAACCACGGACAGCCUCACAAGAGGGUAAAUCAAGGCAGCAUUUUUCUUUUUUAAUUGAGAUAUAACAUCAGACCAGAAGGUACACAAAAAUACAUAUGUGUACAUCCAUGUAACUUCUUGUCCCUUUCCAGUCAAAACAGUAACGCAUGCGCGGGUGCGCGCACACACGCACCUGUAACCACAAUUCCCAUUUCGAUCACCACAGACUAGAUAUGUCAGCUGUAUUCUGUGGAGGCAGAAAUGUACCGAUGCCACUCCAAGACGAAACCAGGAGGAAAACAAGUAGUAUAAAGGCCAGAAAAAGCAGCAUUCCCUUGAGAAAAAAGAUCCCAUAUGAAGCUAAAGCUUCCAGCUCAGCAAAAAUCUGUCUCCUCCCCACAAGGUGCCAAACUGUGAUAUUUGGAUAAGUGUAGCCAACAGCUGAAUGAGCAUGCAUAAUGCGUUAUAGUUAAUAACUGUUUGAGUCUGUCAGUUAUAAUAAUAUUAAUUCUCAGUCCUUGAUCUUGGAAUACUUUCUUCAUAUUUAUCGAUUCUGUGAUUUGGAAAUUUUUAUUAACUUACUCAUCAAAAACCUGGUCUAAAUGACACAGGAAACCAGUUGCAACAGGACUAGAUGGAAAUAAAAGAAGGGUAAAGUGCAAAGGAACAGGAAAAUAAAAUGGAUAAAAUUAGCGAGGAGAAGCCUAAAAGGAAUGCUCUUUUGUCUUGUCUUUCUGAAAUUUAUUUUUGGUUAUGUUUAUUGUUUGAAAACUGAAACUGAUUGCAAACAAUGUAUACACUGUGAUCCUGGUUUGUUUAAUAAAAAUGAUAUAGGUGUGGGGCGCCUGGGUGGCUCAGAUGGUUAAGCGUCUGCCUUCGGCUCAGGUCAUGAUCUCAGGGUCCUGGGAUCGAGUUCCGCGUCGGACUCCCUGCUCCUUGGGAGCCUGCUUCUCCCUCUGCCUCUCUCUCUCUCUCUCUCUCUCUGUCUCUCAUGAAUAAAUAAAUAAAAUCUUAAAAAAAAAAUUAUAUAGGUGUGUAUAUGUAUUUAUAAGAAAAGGCUUAGGGGGCUAUAUAUAAAAAAUGUUAAUACUUACAGCUGAGUGGGAGGAUUACAUGUGA